UACGGAGGGUGCGAGCGUUAUCCGGAUUUAUUGGGUUUAAAGGGUCCGUAGGCGGACCUGUAAGUCAGUGGUGAAAUCUCAUAGCUUAACUAUGAAACUGCCAUUGAUACUGCAGGUCUUGAGUGAAUUUGAGGUAGCUGGAAUAAGUAGUGUAGCGGUGAAAUGCAUAGAUAUUACUUAGAACACCAAUUGCGAAGGCAGGUUACCAAGAUUCAACUGACGCUGAGGGACGAAAGCGUGGGGAGCGAACAGG
rnacentral:rRNA from 1 species